rnacentral:rRNA from 2 species
CAGUCGAGCGGAUGAGAAGAGCUUGCUCUUCGAUUCAGCGGCGGACGGGUGAGUAAUGCCUAGGAAUCUGCCUGGUAGUGGGGGACAACGUUUCGAAAGGAACGCUAAUACCGCAUACGUCCUACGGGAGAAAGCAGGGGACCUUCGGGCCUUGCGCUAUCAGAUGAGCCUAGGUCGGAUUAGCUAGUUGGUGAGGUAAUGGCUCACCAAGGCGACGAUCCGUAACUGGUCUGAGAGGAUGAUCAGUCACACUGGAACUGAGACACGGUCCAGACUCCUACGGGAGGCAGCAGUGGGGAAUAUUGGACAAUGGGCGAAAGCCUGAUCCAGCCAUGCCGCGUGUGUGAAGAAGGUCUUCGGAUUGUAAAGCACUUUAAGUUGGGAGGAAGGGCAUUAACCUAAUACGUUAGUGUUUUGACGUUACCGACAGAAUAAGCACCGGCUAACUCUGUGCCAGCAGCCGCGGUAAUACAGAGGGUGCAAGCGUUAAUCGGAAUUACUGGGCGUAAAGCGCGCGUAGGUGGUUUGUUAAGUUGGAUGUG